UUUGGGCCCCCUUGUCGGAGAGGCGCGCGGCGAAUAGCGACACGAAGAUGCAGAGGACGCAGGAUAU
rnacentral:rRNA from 11 species